UACGAAGGGGGCUAGCGUUGCUCGGAAUCACUGGGCGUAAAGCGCACGUAGGCGGAUCUUUAAGUCAGGGGUGAAAUCCUGGAGCUCAACUCCAGAACUGCCUUUGAUACUGGGGAUCUCGAGUCCGGAAGAGGUGAGUGGAAUUCCUAGUGUAGAGGUGAAAUUCGUAGAUAUUAGGAAGAACACCAGUGGCGAAGGCGGCUCACUGGUCCAUUACUGACGCUGAGGUGCGAAAGCGUGGGGAGCAAAGCA
rnacentral:rRNA from 1 species